UAACUGGGAUUAGAUACCCCACUAUGCCCAGUAGUAAACACAAAUACACUGUAUGCGCCAGAGAAUUACAAGCUAAGCUUAAAACCCAAAGGACUUGGCGGCAUUCCAUAACACCCUAGAGGGGCCUGUCAUAUAAACGAUAACCCACGAUAAACCUUACCAUUUUUAGCCCAACACCAGCCUAUAUACCGCCGUCGCCAGCCCAUCUUGAAAAAGUAAACAAAUAGGCCAAAUAGUAUCAUUACUAAAACGACAGGUCAAGGUGUAGCUUAUAAAAUGGCAAAUGAUGGACCACAUUGCUUUGCCAGCCAAACUAAAACUGCCCUGAAACAAACAUUUUAAGGUGAAUUUAACAGUAAAGUGAACAAGAAAAUCCACUUAAAGACUGCUCUGGAACGUGCACACACCGCCCGUCACC
rnacentral:rRNA from 1 species